AGGUUAUGGGUCCACGAGCGGCGACGCCGCGGAGGAAGCCGGUGUGAAACCGGCGCGGUCCCGCCACUGUGACCAGGGAUGAUCCCUGGGAGUCAGGAACUCCGGUCGCUGUGACAUCCGA
rnacentral:ncRNA from 1 species